rnacentral:rRNA from 1 species
CCUACGGGAGGCAGCAGUGAGGAAUAUUGGUCAAUGGCCGAGAGGCUGAACCAGCCAAGUCGCGUGAGGGAAGACGGCCCUACGGGUUGUAAAGUUCUGUCAGUGGGGACGAAAAAUGACGGUACCCACAGAGGAAGCACCGGCUAACUCCGUGCCAGCAGCCGCGGUAAUACGGAGGGUGCAAGCGUUGUCCGGAAUCAUUGGGCGUAAAGAGUUCGUAGGGGGCAUGUAAAGUCAGGUGUUAAAGGCGCAGGCUCAACCUGUGUAUGGCACUUGAUACUUGCAAGCGGGAGUGCGGUAGAGGUAAAGGGAAUUCGUGGUGUAGCGGUGAAAUGCUUAGAUAUCAGGAGGAACAUCGGUGGCGUAAGCGCUUUACUGGGCCGUAAUUGACGCUGAGGAACGAAAGCCAGGGUAGCAAAUGGGAUUAGAUACCCCUGUAGUC